AAAGGGAUCUAAUCCUAGUUAAGACGCGAGCGAUGUGCAUAANANGGCUCUUUAUCUAAGGUUAUUAAAGUUAAUAUGUGCUUAGAAGUAAAUUGUAGUUCAUUGUAGCUAUAAAAUACGCUGCACCAUGGCCUGUCUUUAUUGGUGUAGUUCAGUUAAUAAAACUUUUUAGUGGUUAACUUUUACGGCGGUAUACAUGCAUAUUUAUAGUAAGUUAGUCGGUGUGGUGUCGUUUAAACAACAAGCUCCUCUAAUUUGGUGGAUUAGCCGCCAAAUUCUUUGGGUUUGGGAUAAUAGUAAUUACUACCCUCCAUAAGUUUUAUCAGAAAUAAUAAGGGUAUCUAAUCCUAGA
rnacentral:rRNA from 1 species